AUAAUAAUAAUAACUUUAUUUUUGUACCCAGCCACCAUCUCCCCGAAGGGACUCGGGACGGCUUACAUGGGGCCAAGCCCAGGUAAUAGAAUAAACAAGAUAAAACACAAAUAUAAAAAAAAGAAAUACAACACAAUAUAAAAUUUACACAAUUAACAUCAUAAAAUUUAAAAUGAUGACCAUAGUAAAACAUUGUUUAGACACCAGGGUAAGAGUCAUAAAAACGAACUGGGUAGGGGGUACGAAAUGAGUUUUGUAAACAGAAGGGAAAAAGUAAUUGGCUAAGGUCAAAGUUAAUGAGAGAACAACUUGGGACGGGGUGGACCCUGUGACUAUAUCAAACUGAUAGAGCAGGGGUCCUCAAACUUUUAAAGCAGAGGACCGGUCCACAAUCCUUCAGACUGUUGAGGGGCCGCAUUAUCAUUUGGAAAAAAACGAACAAAUUCCUAUGCACACUGCACAUAUCUUAUUUGUAGUGCAAAACAACAACAAUAACAAUGAAAAAACAAUACAAUAUUUAAAAAACAAUUUUAACCAACAUAAACCUAUCAGGCUUUCAAUAGGAAGUGUGGGCCUUCUUCUGGCCAAUGAGAUAGUCAGGUUAAUUAGGAUUGUUGUUAAUCAUAGAAUCAUAGAAUAAUAGAGUUGGAAGAGACUUCAUGGGCCAUCCAGUUCAACCCCCUGCCAAGAAGCAGGAAAUCGUAUUCAAAGCACCCCCAAAAGAUGUCCAUCCAACCUCUGUUUAAAAGCCUCUAAAAAAGGAGCCUCCACCACACUCUGGGGCAGAGAGUUCCACUGCCGAACAGCUCUCACAGUGAGGAAGUUCUUCCUGAUGUUCAGGUGGAAUCUCCUUUCCUGUAGUUUAAAGCCAUUGUUCUGCAUCCUAGUAUCCAGGGCAGCAGAAAAGAAGUGACUUGCAGUUUCUAAAGUCGCUCCUGACAUGAAAAAAAAAAUCCUACUACCAACCCGUACUGACCCUGCUUAGCCUCCAAGAUCAGGUGUUAUCUGGUACCUUUAAGGCAUUUAGAUCAUCUAGGAUUUGGGACAGAUACGUCAAAUUGGGAAACAAUAUAACAUAAUAAAAAGGAGGGUUACAUUUUGGUGUAAAAUAAAUAGAGAGGCAAUAGAAUAAAAACAAAAUAUGCUACUUCAGGUUUUAUUUUAUUUCUUGGUUACAUUUUAGUCUAUUUAUCUAUUAAAAUUAACAUCAAAAAUUAAAAAAAUUAAAAAUACAACAUCACUGAAAACAAAUGAAACAAUAAAACCACCACAAAACUUGGUUAAAAUUGAAACAGUUUAAGAGCUCAGAUUUAGGAAGUAUUUCUUCACAUCCAUCCCAAAAUCAGAAAGAGUGAUGUCUUCCCUCUACUUCUUCCCUGUGACAUGCCUUACCCUGAAGCAUAUUUUCAACAUUAACUCUUUGAAUACCAUAAAUUAAGGGUGGUGCUUAGUGGCUCCAUGUCAGUGGGGAGGUGAUAUUGUCCUUGGUUUUCGUUCAAAUGCUAAAGGAUGAUAUUACUCAAGUAGGUUCAGCAGCUUGGAUAGUUCAUUAAAAGUCAGUUCUUGUGAUUCUAAAUGAAGGCAGUAAAUCAAGGCAGUGAUCAAGCACAGGCUUUUACACUAAAAGCAAGAGAGAAAGGGAGGGACGCAUUUUGUUCUUCUCCAUCUACUAUUUAUUUACCUUAUUUAUACCCCGCCUUUCUCUUCCCAAAGGGGGACUCAAGGUGGCUAGAAAAAUAGAUGCAUUUUAGAUGUAGAGAAUACCUAAUGACUACACUCAGAUUCCAUGAAGGUACAUGUCAGUGAACCCUUGUGAUGACCUGAUGUUACUAAUCCUACUCCUGCUGUUUCAGUAACUGUUGACCAGCUUAUAGUCAGAACAGAAUAUGGGCCAAAUGAAAGGAAACUGACUGGCAGAAAAACACCAAGAGGAAGAAAAUGCCAUAUGGUUCAAGUCAAAUUGGCAGUUUGCUACUAGCAGCAUAAGACAUAACACGGCAUCAGACAGCUAUGGAAUGAAUACAUAAGUUUCAGUUCCAUGAAGGAAAAGGAUAGAAAUCUAUCAUGGUGGAGAGUUAGUAAUAUGUUUGUGAGUGGGUGGAAGGAUAGAUGGGUGAAACUGAGAUGACAGGGAAGACAUGAGUGAAAGAUAACUGUCAUGUUCCAAGUUGCCAGAUAACACACCUGCAAGUUAUCUGCAAUUCUAAAUUAACAACUCCAAUAUGUAGGUUUUCUUUAUCAUCACAAUCUUUUAAAAUCAGAAGGAGAAAUAUCUUAAUAUCCAAGAUAAACAAUGAAUGAAGAUUUAAUUUGUAAAACAAAACAUUGUAUUCUUGAAUCCUAAUGUCCAGAUAUACCCACACAAUAUGAUAGGCUGACCCUCUUAAAAUUGCUAGUAAACAGAAAAAUCAUUUAUUUGAUGGGCAGAUACAUGUAAAGUAAGCAGCUUCUCUGAUGAGAGUGUAAAGGCUGAAUAAGCCCUUAGAAUAAAGAUCCCACUGGCAUGUUACAGUACAAUUCCCAUAUUCACUAGAGUAAUGAUCCUGGACUUUGCAUGAAUAUAUGAAACCGGGAAUAACUCUAUUAUUUUCAAUGGCACACAUUAUAGAGGUUCCAAGAAAAGGUUUCAGCUUUUACAAGAAGCCCUAAGUGAAUAGGUGAAACUGUGGAUAAGGGAAAGUAUAUCAGUUCUACAGAUACAGUGGUUUUACUAUAAGUAGGAAGAAAACUAUAUUGUUCACUCUUAGGCAGACAUGGGUAAAGAUUUGGGCUAAAUUACCAUAUUUGUGGUCCCCAAAAUCUCUUUUUUAAAAAAAAAAAAU
ensembl:lncRNA